UAAUCAAUGGCAUUUCCAUUCUCCUAGCAGACCACCCUUGAGGCUUUGUUCUUACAGAAGCCAGGUUGAAGCUUCCCAGCACCCAAGUAGCCCCAUUCAAUGGGAAAUUCCAAACCAAGGCCUCCAAGAAGAUUUGCUAAUCAGAAAACCAUCGCUACACAGUUGCAAAGACACCUCCUUCUCCAAGACCUUCCCGGCCCUCACCACACCUACUAAGACUUGGAUCUCCACACUGAAAUGUGUCCUUUUGGCUUUCCAGCUCAACUCGCAAAAGAAAAGAGCAUAA
rnacentral:lncRNA from 1 species